CACGUAGGGCGCGAGCGUUGUCCGGAAUUAUUGGGCGUAAAGAGCUCGUAGGCGGCCUGUUGCGUCCGCUGUGAAAGCCCGGGGCUUAACCCCGGGUCUGCAGUGGAUACGGGCAGGCUAGAGGUAGGUAGGGGAGAAUGGAAUUCCCGGUGUAGCGGUGAAAUGCGCAGAUAUCGGGAGGAACACCGGUGGCGAAAGCGGCUCACUGGACCAUUACUGACGCUGAGGCACGAAAGCUAGGGGAGCAAACAGG
rnacentral:rRNA from 1 species